CCUACGGGUGGCUGCAGUGGGGAAUAUUGGACAAUGGGGGGAACCCUGAUCCAGCGACGCCGCGUGAGUGAAGAAGUAUUUCGGUAUGUAAAGCUCUAUCAGCAGGGAAGAAAGAAAUGACUGUACCUGACUAAGAAGCCCCGGCUAACUACGUUCCAGCAGCCGCGGUAAUACGUAGGGGGCAAGCGUUAUCCGGAUUUACUGGGUGUAAAGGGAGCGUAGACGGUUACGCAAGUCUGGAGUGAAAGGCGGGGGCCCAACCCCCGGACUGCUUUGGAAACUGUAUAAAUGGAGUGCAGGAGAGGUAAGUGGAAUUCCUAGUGUGGCGGUGAAAUGCGUAGAUAUUGGGAGGAACAACAGUGGCGAAGGCGGCUUACUGGACUGUAACUGACGUGGAGGCUCGAAAGCGUGGGGAGCAAACAGGAUUAGAUACCCUAGUAGUC
rnacentral:rRNA from 1 species